UUUUGAACCAUUUCCCAACAGAUUUUAAAUGUUGGGGAAUGGCAUGGAAUGAAUUCCAGCAGUGGAAUAUUUGGGAAUUGUGCUUAACCUAUUUGGAGAUUCAGAAAUUGAUUGUUUCAUAAUUUGUCUGUUUGUUUUGUCUAUUGCUGGAAAUGCUCACGGAAUAGAGAGUGGAGAAAGUCACUCAUUCGUGACUUGAGAAGCCAGGCAACAGGCUCACAGACUUGCUCUAUAAGCAUGUGGGAGAAAGAGCUGGCAGAAAGGAGCCUCACUGUCUGUUCCUGAAGAUCCCAGGGCAUAGGAUGGCAGAAGUUGUUACAGAGGUGUAUCAGGCCAUUCUUGCAUUGUUAUAUAAAAAAAAAAAUACCUGAGACUGAGUGAUUUAUAAAGCAUUGGCUUAGGCAGGCAAGGAGAGCAACCAAGUAGGCAAGAGCUGAGAGCUAAGCUGGGGUCCUGACUUGUCACCCAGGGUUAGGCGAGAGAGGAAGUCACAACUAUGGAGCCAAGUCAGUGCUGGGAGGGCAGGCAGGCAGGAAUGGCUG
rnacentral:lncRNA from 1 species